GACGAACGCUGGCGGCGUGCUUAACACAUGCAAGUCGAACGGUAAGGCCCUUCGGGUACACGAGUGGCGAACGGGUGAGUAACACGUGGUGAUCUGCCCUGCACUUCGGGAUAAGCCUGGGAAACUGGGUCUAAUACCGGAUAGGACUCCUGGCUUCAUGGUUGGGGUGUAAAGCUUUUGCGGUGUGGGAUGGGCCCGCGGCCUAUCAGCUUGUUGGUGGGGUAAUGGCCUACCAAGGCGACGACGGGUAGCCGGCCUGAGAGGGUGACCGGCCACACUGGGACUGAGAUACGGCCCAGACUCCUACAGGGGGCAGCAGUGGGGAAUAUUGCACAAAUGGGCGCAAGCCUGAUGCAGCGACGCCGCGUGAGGGAUGACGGCCUUC
rnacentral:rRNA from 1 species